rnacentral:rRNA from 1 species
UUCCGGUUGAUCCUGCCAGAGGCUACUGCUAUCGGGGUUCGAUUAAGCCAUGCGAGUUAAAUGUUCUUCGUGAACAUAGCGAACUGCUCAGUAACACGUGGAUAACCUACCCUUAGGACCGGAAUAACCCCGGGAAACUGGGGAUAAUACCGGAUAAGCCAUAGACGCUGGAAUGCCCUAUGGUUCAAAGCUCCGGCGCCUAAGGAUGGAUCUGCGGUCUAUCAGGUUGUAGUGGGUGUAACGUACCUACUAGCCGACGACGGAUACGGGUUGUGAGAGCAAGAGCCCGGAGAUGGAUUCUGAGACACGAAUCCAGGCCCUACGGGGUGCAGCAGGCGCGAACACUUUACAAUGCGGGAAACCGCGAUAAGGGAACCCCGAGUGCCAGCAUCAAAUGUUGGCUGUCCAGAUGAUUAAAAAUCAUUUGUUAGCAAGGGCCGGGCAAGACCGGUGCCAGCCGCCGCGGUAACACCGGCGGCCCGAGUGGUAGCCGUUUUUAUUGGGUCUAAAGGGUCCGUAGCCGGCYUGAUAAGUCUUUUGGCAAAUUGGCAGCUUAACUGUCAGGCUUCUAAGGGAUACUGUCAGGCUUGGGACCGGAAAGGUAAGGGGUACUCCAGGGUAGGAGUGAAAUCUUGUAAUCCCUGGGGACCAUCUGUGGCGAAGGCGCCUUACCAGAACGGGUCCGACGGUGAGGGACGAAAGCUAGGGGAGCAAACCGGAUUAGAUACCGGGUAGUCCUACUGUACAUGCUCGCUAGGUGUCAGACACGGUGCGACCGUGUUUGGUGCCGCAGGGAAGCCGUUAAGCGAGCCACCUGGGAAGUACGGUCGCAAGGCUGAAACUUAAAGGAAUUGGCGGGGGAGCACUACAACGGGUGGAGCCUGCGGUUUAAUUGGAUUCAACGCCGGGAA